UCCAAGCAAACAUUGAGAUGGAAAGAGUG
rnacentral:piRNA from 1 species